rnacentral:rRNA from 1 species
CACAUGGCAAGGUCGAGGGGAAACGACAUUGGAAGCUUGCUUCCGAUGGGCGUCGACCGGCGCACGGGUGAGUAACGCGUAUCCAACCUGCCCACCACUUGGGGAUAACCUUGCGAAAGUAAGCUAAUCCCAAUGACGUCCAUUAGAAGACAUCUGAAGUGGAUUUAAAGAUUUAUCGGUGAUGGAUGGGGAUGCGUCUGAUUAGCUUGUUGGCGGGGUAACGGCCCACCAAGGCAACGAUCAGUAGGGGUUCUGAGAGGAAGGUCCCCCACAUUGGAACUGAGACACGGUCCAAACUCCUACGGGAGGCAGCAGUGAGGAAUAUUGGUCAAUGGACGGAAGUCUGAACCAGCCAAGUAGCGUGCAGGAUGACGGCCCUAUGGGUUGUAAACUGCUUUUAUGUGGGAAUAAAGUCGGGGACGUGUCCCUGUUUGCAUGUACCACAGGAAUAAGGACCGGCUAAUUCCGUG